rfam:Candidate division WOR_3 bacterium SM23_60 WORSMTZ_10061, whole genome shotgun sequence.
GGAGAGGUGGCCGAGUGGACGAAGGCACCCGCUUGCUAAGCGGUUUCUCGUCGAAAGACGGGACGGGAGUUCGAAUCUCCCCCUCUCCG